GGCAACAUGAAAGACACCUUUGGCAGUGAUUGAGUUGUUACCAAUGUCAAGAAGUGCAAGUUUUCCUUUACGUGAAGAUAAACCUGAAAUUAGAGCACGCACCCCUUCGUCACCAAUUGAAUUUCCAUUCAGAUGAAGUUCCCUCAGUGAUUUGUUCCCUUCAAGUCCUUUAGCCAAAGCAUUAGCUCCCAGGGCACCACCAUAAUUGCCAUUAAGAUGUAUGUUCCGUAUGGUGUUGUUUUCAAGAAGUGCUCCGCCAAGACUUGUAAAUCCAGAAUAAU
rnacentral:misc_RNA from 1 species